GGGCCGUUAGCUCAGUUGGAUAGAGCAAGAAAUUUCUAAUUUCUAGGUCGGGGGUUCGAUUCUUCCACGGCUCGCCA
rnacentral:tRNA from 1 species